GCCUGGGUGGCUCAGUCAGUUGGGCGUCUGACUUUGGCUCAGGAAAUGAUCUCAUGGUUCGUGGGUUCGAGCCCCGCAUCGGGCU
rnacentral:tRNA from 1 species